UACGUAGGGGGCGAGCGUUGUCCGGAUUUAUUGGGCGUAAAGAGCGUGUAGGCGGCCAGGUAGGUCUGCUGUGAAAACUCGAGGCUCAACCUCGAGACGUCGGCGGAAACCAUCUGGCUAGAGUCCGGAAGAGGAGAGUGGAAUUCCUGGUGUAGCGGUGAAAUGCGCAGAUAUCAGGAAGAACAUCAGUGGCGAAGGCGGCCUGCUGGGCUGUUGCUGACGCUGAGGCGCGACAGCGUGGGGAGCAAACAGG
rnacentral:rRNA from 1 species